GGGUGAGGUUGUGGAGAGGUAAAUUAAUUGACAAGAGGCAAAAGAGAGAGACCUCCGUCUGCCUUCCUCCCACAUCCCUUCUCCAGCCAGGAAGAGUGGGACUCCUGAGCUAGAGCUCAGAGUAUUCCCUCCCUAUUACAUACAAGCAUCUGCUGGCCUCCUGGUCUCCCACCUGCUCCUGGCCCAGCCAGCAGAACCAGGAGGGUAGGAGGCUGCUGACUGACAUAAAUGAGCAAGAGGAGCACAAAGGGUGCUAGACCUAUCACAAUGCCUGAUUCUUGGAAGAGGCUCCACUGCACCCCAACCCUGCUUUGCCCUGGCGUAACCCAUCACCAAGAAGCUGAGCUCUCUCCUCAGGCAGUGGGGAAGACAUAGCAUAAUGAUUUGUGUUUAAUCAGGAUUCAAUAGUGGUUCAGCUAGGUGCAGAGAGGUCAGGGGUGGGCCACUGCUAGGGAGCGGGAGGGGACACUUCCCAACCACACCUCUCCAGAUCCAGGAUAUUUCCUACAAUCUGCUUCCCCUUCCCUCGGGCAGGUGAUCUGUGAUAUGGAUAUGCUGCACCCUCAGCAUAACGCCCACAGAAGAUAAAGGGUUCUGUAGACUUCUAAGAUCUGGAGUGGAGCCAUCUGAAAGAAGUGGGAGUGCUGGGAUCCAGCCAGUGAUGGGGAGCUCUCAGCUAGCACCAUGGGGUUCCAGGCUGGAUGAAGUUAGAGAUAACGAAACGAUAAAAAUGCUAAGAAUGUCCUGUGUGCUGAUUAAAGAUGAGGAACUAUUGCU
rnacentral:sRNA from 1 species